GACGAACGCUGGCGGCAUGCCUAAUACAUGCAAGUCGAGCGAACAGAUGAAGUGCUUGCACUUCUGACGUUAGCGGCGAACGGGUGAGUUACACGUAAGGAAUCUACCUAUAAGCGGGGGAUAACAUUCGGAAACGGGUGCUAAUACCGCAUAAUAUCUUCUUGCGCAUGGAAGAAGAUUGAAAGACGGCGCUGCGGGCACUUAUAGUUGAACUUGCGGUGAUUUAGUUAGUUGGUGGGGUAAUGGCCUACCAAGACGAUGAUGGAUAGCCGACCUGAAGGUGUGGUCGGCCACAUUGGGACUGAGACACGGCCCAAACUCCUACGGGAGGCAGCAGUAGGGAAUCUUCCGCAAGGGGCGAAAGCCUGACGGAGCAAUGCCGCGUGAGUGAAGAAGGCCUUCGGGUCGUAAAACUCUGUUAUAAGAGAAGAACAAACUGUAGAGUAACUGCUACAGUCUUGACGGUAUCUUAUCAGAAAGCCACGGCUAACUACGUGCCAGCAGCCGCCGUAA
rnacentral:rRNA from 1 species